CAUGCCUCCUGUUUGUUCUGUUCAUCAUAUGUUUUUUUUUUAUUUGAGUUUUUUCUGCAUAUUUAUGUGAUCUUUUUUCUUUUAAUUUGUGUUGGGAGACUGCGUAACCGGGAAUUCCAAGCGUUGAUGAGACUCGUCUUACAGCAUUCAAUGCCCUGGUGGCUUGCAAAUACUUUAGCUUAUCAAGUCGCGUUGUGAAUGUUCAACAAUGAUUGGAUUCCAUAAAAUGGAAUGGUUGUUAAGGAAUUUUGCCAAAUGAUUCGUACUCCUGUUGUAGCUUCCACAUUUGUAAUACAAGAUUAUAAAAUCAAAUAGGUUUAUUUUCUUUUAAUGGAUUUUCAUGCCCUGUUCUAAGGCUCACAUUUGUAGCCUUGUAUAAGUCUAUCAUGGAAGUCAAGAAAGCAACAUUCCAAAUAUUUGUUCGUCUGUCUGAUCAUUCCAUGUUAUAAAAUCAAAUAGGUUUAUUUUCUUUUAAUGGAUUUUCAUGUCCUGUUCUAAGGUUCACAGUUGUAGCCAUGUAUAAGUCUAUCAUGGAAGUCAAGAAAGCAACAUUCCAAAUAUUUGUUCGUCUGAUGUUUUAAUAGAUCAUUCCAUGUUAUAAAGAUCCACUUGUUCCACAGACUGUCAGGAUGUUUGCAAUGAGUGAUGAGUUAGAUUUACAGCUGUCAAUUGUUCUUUCUUAAGUAUCUCCAUGGAAUUCUUAGUAAACCCUACAAAAGCUUCUUCAUAAGCCGCUCCUUUCAACGGUAAAGUGACCGCAAAAAACAACAUAAAUUGCCCUUUAUCCUUGUUCCUCUGAAUUUAUUUCUCAUUCUUCCUCCUGUUUUAUAGGUUUCUCAGCAUCAAUGUCGCUCUCCAUCUCCGUGUCUAUUGAAUUAUUCAGGGUUUUUGUUGCCAGGGACUCUACUUCCUUUUUAUCUGUCUGAAGAACUUUGCAAGUGUAUUGGAUGCAAGGGGACGAUUUUCCUUCAUUCACUCCAGUGAGACAAGGAACGUCGCGAUUCUCCUUCAUCGGUGUGCAUGCCGUGUUUUUUAUAUUGUAUAUAUGCAUGUGUUGUUCGGUGAUGCAGGAUAUUGCAGGUACAAGUACCGUGUAGGUACAGGGUAUCGUCUCCACCUGGCUUCACAGGUCUGAGUGUGUCUUAUAUUUGUCCGAUGGAAGUGGAGGAGAUAGUAGUUGACCCUAUUUUAACUAGUUACACUCUUGUGAGUGUCGUCAGUUGGUCGUCCUAUCAGUUUGUUCGGCCUUCGUUUUUGUCAUUUGACCUUUUUAUGAGUCUUUGCUUGGGGUUUGCUCAGUUUGUGUGUUUAGUGGAUUUAAUUAAUUAAUUAAAUUUAUGGAGUUAUCUCAUAGUUGGUAUUUUUGAAUUAUGUAUUUUAUGCAUUGAGAUAUUAAAUUUAAUUAAUUAAAAGAAAUUAUUAAAUUAGAUUGCAAGUUGCAUUGUAUUCGAAUUAUAUCUUAUUUAAAUUUUAGCGAAAAAUAAAUUAGAUUAAUUUCAUUUAUUGUUUCCUAGAAUUUUUAAAUAAAUAAAUGAA